rnacentral:rRNA from 1 species
GUUGUAUAGUCAAGUAAUUAAGUGCAUGUGGUGGAUGCCUUGGCAGUCAGAGGCGAUGAAAGACGUGAUAGCCUGCGAAAAGCUCCGGGGAGGCGGCAAAUAUCCUUUGAUCCGGAGAUUUCUGAAUGGGGGAACCCACCUACUUUAAGGUAGGUAUUGCAACAUGAAUACAUAGUGUUGCAAGGCGAACGAGGGGAAGUGAAACAUCUCAGUACCCUUAGGAAAAGAAAUCAAUUGAGAUUCCCUCAGUAGCGGCGAGCGAACGGGGAUCAGCCCAUUAAGUUAUGUGUGUUUUAGUGGAACGCUCUGGGAAGUGCGAACGUAGAGGGUGAUAUUCCCGUACACGAAAGGGCACACAUAAUGAUGACGAGUAGGGCGAGGCACGUGAAACCUUGUCUGAAUAUGGGGGGACCAUCCUCCAAGGCUAAAUACUCCUGACUGACCGAUAGUGAACCAGUACCGUGAGGGAAAGGCGAAAAGAACCCCUGUGAGGGGAGUGAAAUAGAUCCUGAAACCGCAUGCAUACAAGCAGUGGGAGCACCUUCGUGGUGUGACUGCGUACCUUUUGUAUAAUGGGUCAGCGACUUAUAUUCAGUAGC